AGUGAACGCUGGCGGUAGGCCUAACACAUGCAAGUCGAACGGCAGCACAGUAAGAGCUUGCUCUUACGGGUGGCGAGUGGCGGACGGGUAAGGAAUACAUCGGAAUCUACUUUUUCGUGGGGGAUAACGUAGGGAAACUUACGCUAAUACCGCAUACGACCUACGGGUGAAAGCAGGGGAUCUUCGGACCUUGCGCGAUUGAAUGAGCCGAUGUCGGAUUAGCUAGUUGGCGGGGUAAAGGCCCACCAAGGCGACGAUCCGUAGCUGGUCUGAGAGGAUGAUCAGCCACACUGGAACUGAGACACGGUCCAGACUCCUACGGGAGGCAGCAGUGGGGAAUAUUGGACAAUGGGCGCAAGCCUGAUCCAGCCAUGCCGCGUGAGUGAAGAAGGCCUUCGGGUUGUAAAGCCCUUUUGUUGGGAAAGAACAGCAGCAGGUUAAUACCCCGCUGUUCCGACGGUACCCAAAGAAUAAGCACCGGCUAACUUCGUG
rnacentral:rRNA from 1 species